UACGAAAGGAGCAGGUGUUAUUCAGAUUAACUGGGCGUAAAGGGUGCGUAGGUGGUUUGUUAUGUGUACUAUAAAAUUAUAAAGCAUAACUUUUAUACUGUAGUGUAGACAACUAAACUAGAGUGUGGUAGAGGGUAGCGGAAUUCCUGGUGUAGCAGUGAAAUGCGUAGAGAUCAGGAGGAACAUCCAUGGCGAAGGCAGCUACCUGGACCAACACUGACACUGAGGCACGAAAGCGUGGGGAGCAAACAGG
rnacentral:rRNA from 1 species